rnacentral:rRNA from 1 species
CAGGAUGAACGCUAGCGGCGUGCCUAAUACAUGCAAGUCGAACGGAGAGGUCUUGUAGCAAUACAGGCCUCUUAGUGGCGAACGGGUGAGUAACGCGUGGGUGACCUGCCCCAAAGAGGGGGAUAACAGUCCGAAAGGACUGCUAAUACCCCAUGUGGUCAACGGGUUUAGAAGCCGUUGACCAAAGGAGCAAUCCGCUUUGGGAGGGGCCCGCGUCCCAUCAGGUAGUUGGUAGGGUAACGGCCUACCAAGCCGAUGACGGGUAGGGGGCCUGAGAGGGUGGCCCCCCACAAUGGCACUGAAACACGGGCCAUACACCUACGGGUGGCAGCAGUAGGGAAUAUUGGACAAUGGGCGAAAGCCUGAUCCAGCAACGCCGCGUGCGCGAUGAAGGCCUUCGGGCUGUAAAGCGCUUUUCGGGAGGAUGAGCAAGGACAGUACUCCCGGAAUAAGUCUCGGCUAACUACGUGCCAGCAGCCGCGGUAA